rnacentral:rRNA from 1 species
CGAAUUCGCCCUUAGAGUUUGAUCAUGGCUCAGGAUGAACGCUGGCGGCGUGCCUAAUACAUGCAAGUCGAGCGAACGGACGAGAAGCUUGCUUCUCUGAUGUUAGCGGCGGACGGGUGAGUAACACGUGGAUAACCUACCUAUAAGACUGGGAUAACUUCGGGAAACCGGAGCUAAUACCGGAUAAUAUUUUGAACCGCAUGGUUCAAAAGUGAAAGACGGUCUUGCUGUCACUUAUAGAUGGAUCCGCGCUGCAUUAGCUAGUUGGUAAGGUAACGGCUUACCAAGGCAACGAUGCAUAGCCGACCUGAGAGGGUGAUCGGCCACACUGGAACUGAGACACGGUCCAGACUCCUACGGGAGGCAGCAGUAGGGAAUCUUCCGCAAUGGGCGAAAGCCUGACGGAGCAACGCCGCGUGAGUGAUGAAGGUCUUCGGAUCGUAAAACUCUGUUAUUAGGGAAGAACAUAUGUGUAAGUAACUGUGCACAUCUUGACGGUACCUAAUCAGAAAGCCACGGCUAACUACGUGCCAGCAGCCGCGGUAAUACGUAGGUGGCAAGCGUUAUCCGGAAUUAUUGGGCGUAAAGCGCGCGUAGGCGGUUUUUUAAGUCUGAUGUGAAAGCCCACGGCUCAACCGUGGAGGGUCAUUGGAAACUGGAAAACUUGAGUGCAGAAGAGGAAAGUGGAAUUCCAUGUGUAGCGGUGAAAUGCGCAGAGAUAUGGAGGAACACCAGUGGCGAAGGCGACUUUCUGGUCUGUAACUGACGCUGAUGUGCGAAAGCGUGGGGAUCAAACAGGAUUAGAUACCCUGGUAGUCCACGCCGUAAACGAUGAGUGCUAAGUGUUAGGGGGUUUCCGCCCCUUAGUGCUGCAGCUAACGCAUUAAGCACUCCGCCUGGGGAGUACGACCGCAAGGUUGAAACUCAAAGGAAUUGACGGGGACCCGCACAAGCGGUGGAGCAUGUGGUUUAAUUCGAAGCAACGCGAAGAACCUUACCAAAUCUUGACAUCCUUUGACAACUCUAGAGAUAGAGCCUUCCUCUUCGGGGGACAAAGUGACAGGUGGUGCAUGGUUGUCGUCAGCUCGUGUCGUGAGAUGUUGGGUUAAGUCCCGCAACGAGCGCAACCCUUAAGCUUAGUUGCCAUCAUUAAGUUGGGCACUCUAAGUUGACUGCCGGUGACAAACCGGAGGAAGGUGGGGAUGAGGUCAAAUCAUCAUGCCCCUUAUGAUUUGGGCUACACACGUGCUACAAUGGACAAUACAAAGGGCAGCGAAACCGCGAGGUCAAGCAAAUCCCAUAAAGUUGUUCUCAGUUCGGAUUGUAGUCUGCAACUCGACUACAUGAAGCUGGAAUCGCUAGUAAUCGUAGAUCAGCAUGCUACGGUGAAUACGUUCCCGGGUCUUGUACACACCGCCCGUCACACCACGAGAGUUUGUAACACCCGAAGCCGGUGGAGUAACCUUUUAGGAGCUAGCCGUCGAAGGUGGGACAAAUGAUUGGGGUGAAGUCGUAACAAGGUAACAAGGGCGAAUU